UAGCCCUAAAUCUUGAUGACCCCAAACACAAACAUCCGCCUGAGAACUACGAGCACAAACGCUUAAAACUCUAAGGACUUGGCGGUGCUCUAAACCCACCUAGAGGAGCCUGUUCUAUAAUCGAUAACCCACGAUUCACCCGACCACCUCUUGCCAAAACAGCCUAUAUACCGCCGUCGCCAGCCCACCUCGUGAGAGCACAACAGUGAGCCCAACAGCCCACAGCCCACUAACAAGACAGGUCGAGGUAUAGCCUAUGAGAUGGAAGAAAUGGGCUACAUUUUCUAAAAUAGAAAACCCAACGAAAAGGGGCUUGAAACCUGCCCCCAGAAGGCGGAUUUAGCAGUAAAGUGGGA
rnacentral:rRNA from 1 species